rnacentral:rRNA from 1 species
AUACGUAGGGGGCGAGCGUUGUCCGGAAUUAUUGGGCGUAAAGGGUUCGUAGGCGGUCUUUUAAGUCAGAUGUGAAAGGUCACGGCUCAACCGUGGUAAGCAUUUGAAACUGAGAGACUUGAGUUAAGGAGAGGAAAGUGGAAUUCCUAGUGUAGCGGUGAAAUGCGUAGAUAUUAGGAGGAAUACCAGUGGCGAAGGCGACUUUCUGGACUUAUACUGACGCUGAGGAACGAAAGCGUGGGGAGCAAACAGGAUUAGAUACCCUGGUAGUCCACGCCGUAAACGAUGAGUGCUAGGUGUUGGGGGUCAAACCUCGGUGCCGCAGCUAACGCAUUAAGCACUCCGCCUGGGGAGUACGUACGCAAGUAUGAA